AUGUUUUAUAAACAAGCAAUUUCCGCGGUGCAUAUUGCUCUAGAUAACAAUUGUAGAGAAAGUGCGGAACUUGAGGUUCCGCGUUUGCCAAAUUCUGUCCUAACUGCUCUUGGUAUAGAGGAGCCCCUGCCAGCGGGCGCUCGUAUAUGCGAGUGUGCGUGUAGACGAAGUUGCCUGGGCGAUGCUUUUUUCAUCGCUCCAAACGCACAAGUGGAUGCUUCAGGGGAGACACUACUCACACCACAGUUAAAAAGGUGCGUGGGGGGAGGCCCUGGUAAGAAUCACUGCACCAGGAGGGAGAGCAAUUGCCAAACCUCUCUAUACCUGCCCCUGAAACCCAAUGCUUCCAGAAACCCCAAUGCCCUGACGUGCCCCUCGCGCAGGGCUGACAGGCCUCACAGCGCCCCGACAGGGCUUCCGCUCCCCCGGCCCUCCCCGCGCUGCCCGCCAGCUCGGACCCAAUCCGCGCCCUCGACCCCCUCCCGCUAUGGCGGCCGGCAGGGGCCGCGCGACCGGAAGUGCCGCCGCGCACCGCCCCGGCUUCCGCUCCCCGCUCCCCGCAAGACGACGGGGAGCCGCUGGGAGGAAAAGACGAAAACGGCGGUGAGAACGUCAGGAAGACAGGCCAAAGGGGAUCACGGAGGCAAUAAAAAGACUUUAUUGUAUUCUUAAAUGAAGGGGAAAGAACGCGCGUCUGGACCAAAAGAAAAACAAAUGGAAAACGUCAACAUCACGAGGACAACGAGGGCAAAGGCGUGUGUCUGGAAGAGCCCAGAGCAAAGAGCACGCUGUUUCCCACAGACCAUCAUUUACACAAACAAACUGCACGGAUGGGGGGCCUUCUCUCCCCUUUAUCACUUUGUUUAGUUUAUCUGGCCAGGAUGAUGCAAAACAAAGCCAAGAUGAAGCAGGAAGGACAGCCACCCCCCGUGCAGUCCUUCCAAGCGCUACGUCACUAGGU
rnacentral:lncRNA from 1 species